UUAAAUUUUAUUUUAGGACAGGGUCUCUCCAGGUUUCAGAGGCUGAAUGGCCUCAAGCUUUUGAUCCUCUUGCCUCGGCCUCCCAAGUAACUGGGAUUACAGGUGUGCUCCAUCACACCCAGUCCUCUAUUUGCUCUUUAAAUUCCUUUAAUUAAAAACAACUGGCAUAUCAGGACACUAUAUUUGGGGUGACAGUCCCUAGAUUCACCCCCCCCCAUACUGCCAAACCUUACUGAUUCUUUUUUUUUUCAAUUUUUUUAUUGAAGUGAAUACACCUAAAAUUGGCCAUCUUAAAAAAAGAGGAAAGGAAAAAAAACAGUAAUAAAAUUUACCUUAUUAGUAAUUUUAGAGUGUUGCGUCCAUUCAUCGUGUGCGCACAUCACCACCGCCCAUCUCUAAGACUCUGCAUCUGGUAAAACUGAAACUCGACACCCAGGAAACCACAACUUCUCAUGGCAACCUUCCCCCAGCCACCGGCUCCUACCAUUCGACUUUCUGAACCUCUGAAUUUGAAUGCUCUCAGUACCUCGCAUUGGUAGAAUCAUGUGUCUUUCCAUGUAGGCUCAUUUCAGUAGUGAAAUAACAUCCUCAAAGCUCAUCGGUGUAGUAGCACGUGUCAGAGUCGACUUCCUCUUCUCAAGUUCAGUGAUAUUCCAUGACGUGGAGGUACGUUGGCUGGUGCAUUCACCCACCCAUCAGGAACGCCUGGGUUUCCUCCUCAUUUUAGCUAUCGGGAAUAUGCUAAGUUGAAC
rnacentral:lncRNA from 1 species